CAGUCGCCGCGGUAAGACAGAGGGUGCAAACGUUGUUCGGAAUUACUGGGCGUAAAGCGAGUGUAGGCGGUUCGGUAAGUCGGAUGUGAAAGCCCCGGGCUCAACCCGGGAAGUGCACUCGAUACUACCAAGCUAGAGUACUGGAGAGGUUGGUGGAAUUCUCGGUGUAGAGGUGAAAUUCGUAGAUAUCGAGAGGAACACCGGUGGCGAAGGCGGCCAACUGGACAGAUACUGACGCUGAGACUCGAAAGCGUGGGGAGCAAACAGGAUUAGAUACCCCCGUAGUCCCUGUCUCUUAUAC
rnacentral:rRNA from 1 species